CGCAGGAGUAGAAGCGUUCACCGCGCAUGCAUCACGUCAGUGCAUCGCGGCCGGAAAUUGCUCCUGGA
rnacentral:ncRNA from 1 species